rnacentral:rRNA from 1 species
UACGUAGGGGGCUAGCGUUGCUCGGAAUCAUUGGGCGUAAAGCGCUCGUAGGCGGCUUUUUAAGUCAGGGGUGAAAUCCUGGAGCUCAACUCCAGAACUGCCUUUGAUACUGAGAAGCUUGAGUCCGGGAGAGGUGAGUGGAACUGCGAGUGUAGAGGUGAAAUUCGUAGAUAUUCGCAAGAACACCAGUGGCGAAGGCGGCUCACUGGCCCGGUACUGACGCUGAGGUGCGAAAGCGUGGGGAGCAAACAGG